rnacentral:rRNA from 1 species
AGAGUUUGAUCCUGGCUCAGAUUGAACGCUGGCGGAAUGCUUUACACAUGCAAGUCGAACGGCAGCACGGGGGCAACCCUGGUGGCGAGUGGCGAACGGGUGAGUAACACAUCGGAACGCGUCCUGUAAUGGGGGAUAACCUGGCGAAAGCCAGGCUAAUACCGCAUACGUCCUGAGGGAGAAAGCGGGGGAUCGCAAGACCUCGCGUUAUAGGAGCGGCUGAUGUCGGAUUAGCUAGUUGGUGGGGUAAAGGCCUACCAAGGCGACGAUCCGUAGCGGGUCUGAGAGGACGGCCCGCCACACUGGGACUGAGACACGGCCCAGACUCCUACGGGAGGCAGCAGUGGGGAAUUUUGGACAAUGGGCGCAAGCCUGAUCCAGCCAUUCCGCGUGAGUGAAGAAGGCCUUCGGGUUGUAAAGCUCUUUCGGCCGGGAAGAAAUCGUACGGGCCAAUACCC